UUUCGGUAUGCCGCUCCGCGAGCAGAGCGAAUGAACAUAAAUCCAACCUAAUAUCAUGAAUAUCCUUCGCCCGUUAUCUCCUCAUCUUCCUAUUAAUAAGCCACAACUUACUUGGACGUUUCCCAAUUCCCAUAGAAUCUCCGGGGCUUUCCUAAACCCUAUAGUUUUGUUUUUAAAUCUUCUGUCUGAAAAUAGGUUUGAUUUGCUUCACCUACGAGAAUUUCUACCAAAUCUUCUUUUUUUCAUCAAAGCUCAUCCUAAUCUCCGUCCACAUUACUGCCUUAGCCCUGUCCGAUCAUCUGUAUAAUGGGAUUCGUCCUUUAUUGACGGAUUGUUUUCAUUCUGUAAACCAUAAAGGUAUAAAGAUGAUGUAUAUAGAUUAAGACCAAGAUCGAUUUGAUGAAGAAGGCAGCUAGCUUGGUCCAAAAUGUGAGAGAUCCAGGAGACUCCAGCCAAGGAAAAAGGUGCCCACACCAUCAAACACGCAGAGGAAAGAACAGUUUAUAAGAUGAGAAAUUGUGGCCGCGGGUCAAAUAAAGUUGCAGAGAAAGAAAUUAAAGCUGCAGUAGAAUCCAAGUGGAGAGGAGACCAAAACCCAAUUAUUGGAUUUUGAUGGUUUCUUAUGAUUCGUUGAUUCUUAGAAUAAAAACUAAGGAAUGAAAUUGCUUUUGCGAUGAGCAUUGCAGAUUGAAAUUUUUGGCUUAAUAUGCAAUUUAUUUUAAUAAGUUGAUGUAAUUAAUUGAAAAUUCUUGCAUCAUUGUGAAUUAAUUUUUCUUUUUG
rnacentral:misc_RNA from 1 species